rnacentral:rRNA from 1 species
AUGGUGAAACGUUUCAUGAAAUGUUGCCGGAAGCUAGUCACUAUUCUUGGAUGCGCAAGCCCGGGUGACAUAGAUGUGCAUGCUCCGAGCACAUCGAUGGUGCAUGCUAGUGGAGCUGUCGCUUCUUCUAGCCACGCCGGUGGUGGCAGCGACUCCGGUGAAUCUGAGGAGGAAAAGGAGGUGGACUUGCAGGACGACGAAGCCCCGAAAGAGAUGAACAUGUCACAAAUGAUGGAUGCACCACCGUCCUCCCAAGCAAAAAGCGUUUCUCACCCUCAUGAUGAUCCAUUCAGCCCAUCACCGUUCCAAAAUCCGCUUCUUCGUCGCCGCAAGAAGACCGUGAAUGAGGGGUGCUCUAAGAGAGGAAGAAUGGGACGAUGA